rnacentral:rRNA from 1 species
ACGAACGCUGGCGGCGUGCUUAACACAUGCAAGUCGAACGGAAAGGCCCUGCUUUUGUGGGGUGCUCGAGUGGCGAACGGGUGAGUAACACGUGAGUAACCUGCCCUUGACUUUGGGAUAACUUCAGGAAACUGGGGCUAAUACCGGAUAGGAGCUCCUGCUGCAUGGUGGGGGUUGGAAAGUUUCGGCGGUUGGGGAUGGACUCGCGGCUUAUCAGCUUGUUGGUGGGGUAGUGGCUUACCAAGGCUUUGACGGGUAGCCGGCCUGAGAGGGUGACCGGCCACAUUGGGACUGAGAGACGGCCCAGACUCCUACGGGGGGCAGCAGUGGGGAAUAUUGCACAAUGGGCGGAAGCCUGAUGCAGAAACGCCGCGUGCGGGAUGACGGCCUUCGGGUUGUAAACCGCUUUCGCCUGUGACGAAGCGUGAGUGACGGUAAUGGGUAAAGAAGCACCGGCUAACUACGUG